rnacentral:rRNA from 1 species
UACGUAGGGUGCGAGCGUUGUCCGGAAUUAUUGGGCGUAAAGAGCUCGUAGGCGGUGUGUCACGUCGGCCGUGAAAACCUGCAGCUUAACUGUGGGCGUGCGGUCGAUACGGGCAUCACUGGAGUUCGGCAGGGGAGACUGGAAUUCCUGGUGUAGCGGUGAAAUGCGCAGAUAUCAGGAGGAACACCGGUGGCGAAGGCGGGUCUCUGGGCAACAACUGACGCUGGAGGAGCGAAAGCGUGGGGAGCGAACAGG